AUCAUUGGAAUGUAGAUGUUUGAAACAAAGGUGUAGAAAUAAACGAAUUGUUUGGAACUGAGCUCUGGCCCUAGAGACGCUCGGAGUGGUCUUUUCUGGGGCUCCA
rfam:Monodelphis domestica chromosome 8, whole genome shotgun sequence.